rnacentral:rRNA from 1 species
GUCCUUUAGAAAUUAAUUGAAGGUCUGACCUGCCCAGUGAUGAUUUUAACGGCCGCGGUAUACUGACCGUGCAAAGGUAGCAUAAUCAUUAGUCUUUUAAUAGAGGGCUGGUAUGAAAGGUUUGACGAGGAACUGACUGUCUCAUUUUAUAUGUUUUAAAAUUUAAUUUUUUAGUUAAAAAGCUAAAAUACUAUUGGAAGACGAGAAGACCCUAUAGAUCUUUAUAUAGAAGGGUAUGAAAAGGUAUAUAUUAUAUUUUUAUACAUUUCUAUAUUUUGUUGGGGUGACAAAAAUAAAUAACUAACUUUUUUAUUUAUUAACCAUUAAUUUAUGAAUAUUAGAUCCGCUAUUGGUGAUUAUUAGACUAAGUUACCUUAGGGAUAACAGCGUAAUCCUCCUCCAGAGUUCAUAUUUACAGGAUGGGCUUGCGACCUCGAUGUUGGAUUAAGAUAAUAAUUAGGUGUAGCCGCUUAAUUUAUGGGUCUGUUCGACCUUUAAAUUCUU